rnacentral:misc_RNA from 1 species
UGUAGGAGUGAGCCUGCUCGCGAUAGCAGUGUGUCAGACAUAAAUUUCUCCACUGAUACACCGCUAUCGCGAGCAGGCUCACUCCUACA